GACGAACGCUGGCGGCGUGCUUAACACAUGCAAGUCGAACGCUGAAGCUCAGCUUUUGUUGGGUGGAUGAGUGGCGAACGGGUGAGUAACACGUGAGUAACCUGCCCCCUUCUUUGGGAUAACGCCCGGAAACGGGUGCUAAUACUGGAUAUUCACUGGUCUUCGCAUGGGGGUUGGUGGAAAGGGUUUUUCUGGUGGGGGAUGGGCUCGCAGCCUAUCAGCUUGUUGGUGGGGUGAUGGCCUACCAAGGCUUUGACGGGUAGCCGGCCUGAGAGGGUGACCGGUCACAUUGGGACUGAGAUACGGCCCAGACUCCUACGGGAGGCAGCAGUGGGGAAGAUUGCACAAUGGGCGCAAGCCUGAUGCAGCGACGCCGCGUGAGGGAUGGAGGCCUUCGGGUUGUGAACCUCUUUCGCUCAUGGUCAAGCCGCAACAAUGGUUGUGGUGAGGGUAGUGGGUAAAGAAGCGCCGGCUAACUACGUG
rnacentral:rRNA from 1 species